UAAGUGCAAACAAUACAAUGUCCAAAGUGGUCAGCUUUUGUAUCACCUUCAUUUACCUCACCUUCUUGCUAAGCUUUACUGCCGCUCGACUCGUGCAUACUGAUCAAGUACUGCAAAAACAACAGAGUAAACAUGGACACAAGUAAAGCUAAAAUCAGAGACGAAAUCAAUAGUGAGAUGCUGGAUACUUGUUCAGGAGGUCUCUGGCGGCGCACCUUGAUUAUAUCUACACACAGGAGCAGCCAGCAGAAACUCCAUGAUGACACAUUAAGUACCAUUCCUUAAAACCAUAAGCAGCUAAUAUAUGAUAAUAAGAAGAAACUUUUGUAAAAGAAGUAUCCCUUCCCACUGUUCCCUUAGGUAUACAAAAUAUAGUUAUAUGAGAUGGUUGCAUACCUGCCUCAUAUGUUGAGUGUUAACACCAGUAGGAGUUGAGAAAGGUAUGAAAGAGUGAGCUAGCAACUCAAUACAAUUAUGGUUAUGUUCGGUUUGAAAGAUUCCUAUGGAAUUAGAAUAUAUUUUUCAUGAAACUUAAUACAUAUUAUAUUGAAGCUAGAAACUUAAAUACCCAUUGAAUGUUUAUUUAUAAGAAAUAGUAUGAUUAAGGGUU